CAUAGGUUAAUGAGGCGAACCGGGGGAACUGAAACAUCUAAGUACCCCGAGGAAAAGAAAUCAACCGAGAUUCCCCCAGUAGCGGCGAGCGAACGGGGAGCAGCCCAGAGCCUGAAUCAGUGUGUGUGUUAGUGGAAGCGUCUGGAAAGGCGCGCGAUACAGGGUGACAGCCCCGUACACAAAAAUGCACAUGCUGUGAGCUCGAUGAGUAGGGCGGGACACGUGGUAUCCUGUCUGAAUAUGGGGGGACCAUCCUCCAAGGCUAAAUACUCCUGACUGACCGAUAGUGAACCAGUACCGUGAGGGAAAGGCGAAAAGAACCCCGGCGAGGGGAGUGAAAAAGAACCUGAAACCGUGUACGUACAAGCAGUGGGAGCACGCUUAGGCGUGUGACUGCGUACCUUUUGUAUAAUGGGUCAGCGACUUAUAUUCUGUAGCAAGGUUAACCGAAUAGGGGAGCCGAAGGGAAACCGAGUCUUAACUGGGCGUUAAGUUGCAGGGUAUAGACCCGAAACCCGGUGAUCUAGCCAUGGGCAGGUUGAAGGUUGGGUAACACUAACUGGAGGACCGAACCGACUAAUGUUGAAAAAUUAGCGGAUGACUUGUGGCUGGGGGUGAAAGGCCAAUCAAACCGGGAGAUAGCUGGUUCUCCCCGAAAGCUAUUUAGGUAGCGCCUCGUGAAUUCAUCUCCGGGGGUAGAGCACUGUUUCGGCAAGGGGGUCAUCCCGACUUACCAACCCGAUGCAAACUGCGAAUACCGGAGAAUGUUAUCACGGGAGACACACGGCGGGUGCUAACGUCCGUCGUGAAGAGGGAAACAACCCAGAC
rnacentral:rRNA from 1 species